rnacentral:tRNA from 1 species
CAUUUAGUGUCCGAUAUAAGGUAUAAAUCUUUUAAAUUUAUUAUAGUGUUUACUCUAAAUGA